UACAGGUGGGGCAAGCGUUGUUCGGAAUUACUGGGCGUAAAGGGCUCGUAGGCGGCCAACUAAGUCCCCCGUGAAAUCCCCAGGCUUAACCUGGGAACUGCGUGUGAUACUGGAUGGCUUGAAUUCGGGAGAGGGAUGCAGAAUUCCAGGUGUAGCGGUGAAAUGCGUAGAUAUCUGGAGGAAUACCGGUGGCGAAGGCGGCAUCCUGGACCAAUAUUGACGCUGAGGAGCGAAAGCCAGGGGAGCAAACGGG
rnacentral:rRNA from 1 species